rnacentral:tRNA from 1 species
GCUGGCGUGGCGCAAUGGUAGCGCAAGUGAUUUGUAAUCACUAGGUUGCAGGUUCGACCCCUGUCGCCAGCUCCA